ACAAAUGCUUGGGGGUGCCCUUUCGGGCUGAGAUUACACCCUUUUCACCUGAUCCGGAUAAUGCCGGCGUAGGGAAAGCGAUUCCUUGUAUC
rnacentral:ncRNA from 2 species